rnacentral:tRNA from 3 species
GUCCCGUUCGUCUAGAGGCCUAGGACUCGGCCCUUUCAAGGCCGCAACACGGGUUCGAAUCCCGUACGGGACGCCA